rnacentral:rRNA from 1 species
AUUAAUUAUUAGAACGGUCUCAGGCUGAAUUUUAUGAUCCCAGGCUGGUUCCAAAAGUCAAAUAUUAGCC